rnacentral:lncRNA from 1 species
CUCAGCUUCUCUGCAUUCCUUCUCCAAGCCAUGUGGUUCCCUAUGCCUUUACCUUCCUCUAGCAGGAGGGGACGUACGAGAGGGGAUCCUUUCCCUCAAAGACUUUUCUCACUAGUGGUGGGGAUCACACCCACACAUACACAUGCGUAAAAUCUAACCAUACAAGCCAGAGUGAGAUGUCUGAUAGGCGGCGCAAACCAAGUGCUCUGGGCCUGAGGAGGGGAGGGGGGCAGGGGCAGCACCUGUGGAAGGAAGGGCCUUUAAGCCUCGAAGAAUGAGAAUUCAGAGCGGAAAGUGGGAGACACAGACCAAAGAAACAACCAGAACACAGAGUUCGUAAAGAAGAGAGGAUGAUGCUGCCCUUAAUGCUCAGCUGAUUACAGACUAAACACAAAAGUUCCCAGAGGAAAAUGGUGGACUUGGGAGCUGCUGCCUCAGGAGGAUCUUGAGUGUUAGUGGUUCCUCCCUAUCAGAUGUACCUAAUGCCCAGGAUUUAAUAAAGGAUCAUUCCCAUUCCACCACCAUCUCCAAACAAAUGUUACUUCUUUCUGUUUGCCAGAUCUUGUUUCUGUCCUUCUUCACGACCAAACUCAAAACUCACUGAACCUUACUUUCCCGGAUGCUGCAGCCCUCAGCUAUGGGCAGAGG